rnacentral:rRNA from 1 species
AGGAAUAUUGGUCAAUGGGCGAGAGCCUGAACCAGCCAAGUAGCGUGAAGGAUGACUGCCCUAUGGGUUGUAAACUUCUUUUAUAAAGGAAUAAAGUCGGGUAUGCAUACCCGUUUGCAUGUACUUUAUGAAUAAGGAUCGGCUAACUCCGUGCCAGCAGCCGCGGUAAUACGGAGGAUCCGAGCGUUAUCCGGAUUUAUUGGGUUUAAAGGGAGCGUAGGCCGGAGAUUAAGCGUGUUGUGAAAUGUAGACGCUCAACGUCUGCACUGCAGCGCGAACUGGUUUCCUUGAGUACGCACAAAGUGGGCGGAAUUCGUGGUGUAGCGGUGAAAUGCUUAGAUAUCACGAAGAACUCCGAUUGCGAAGGCAGCUCACUGGAGCGCAACUGACGCUGAAGCUCGAAAGUGCGGGUAUCGAACAGGAUUAGAUACCCUGGUAGUCCGCACGGUAAACGAUGGAUGCCCGCUGUUGGCCUGAAUAGGUCAGCGGCCAAGCGAAAGCAUUAAGCAUCCCACCUGGGGAGUACGCCGGCAACGGUGAAACUCAAAGGAAUUGACGGGGGCCCGCACAAGCGGAGGAACAUGUGGUUUAAUUCGAUGAUACGCGAGGAACCUUACCCGGGCUUGAAUUGCAGAGGAAGGAUUUGGAGACAAUGACGCCCUUCGGGGCCUCUGUGAAGGUGCUGCAUGGUUGUCGUCAGCUCGUGCCGUGAGGUGUCGGCUUAAGUGCCAUAACGAGCGCAACCCCUCUCCUUAGUUGCCAUCAGGUCAAGCUGGGCACUCUGGGGACACUGCCACCGUAAGGUGUGAGGAAGGUGGGGAUGACGUCAAAUCAGCACGGCCCUUACGUCCGGGGCUACACACGUGUUACAAUGGCAGGUACAGAGAGACGGUCCCUUGCAAAAGGGAUCAAAUCCUCAAAGCCUGUCUCAGUUCGGACUGGGGUCUGCAACCCGACCCCACGAAGCUGGAUUCGCUAGUAAUCGCGCAUCAGCCAUGGCGCGGUGAAUACGUUCCCG